AGCAGGGGAGUGACGUAUAACACGCCAAACCAAUCAAAACGUCGUGUCCCGCCUCAACCGGAGAGAGACUUAUGGGUGGGUGUGUCGAUCAGCGUGGAGCAGCGCAUGCGUGGUACAUUGGAUGUUCAGAGAAGACCUGUUCAAUCAAGGCUAAUCAAGUUUGGAAAAGAUGUGUACCAAAAAAGACCCUGCCCUGGAAAGUUAGAGCUGUGCAGUGGAGAACUGCUCCUGACACACCCACACACUCUGGAGAAAGUAGGACUCAGGUGAUGUCCCCUCACCCACCAGGAUGCCUUGGGGAAAAACUGCAGAGAGGAUUGGAACCAUGCAGAGACACCAUUAAGUAGGACUGAAGAAGCAGCCAAAGCAGGAUCCUUUGGACAUUCUAGAGACUUUUCUACAGAUUCCGCUGGACUUUUUAUUGCAUGUGCCGAUUGGCUGUUUGUUCCAAUCCUCUCCUUCCCUUCCCUCACAGUCUCUUCACCUCAGCUUCAUUCCCUCUUCACUUCUGCUUCCUGUCCCUGUGCCCCUUCCCCUCACCUCAUUCUCUUCAAUGUCCCCCCUCCCUUUACUUUACUUUUAGUUUAACUGUU